GUGCCGGGAAGGGUGGGGAGGUGGGGUGCAUGGCUCUUCCCCUCAGGGUUAUCAGGUUCUUCUCUACAAACCUGGAGGGAACAAAUUCCUGUCAUCUGAGGCUAUUUGAUCUCCCUUGGUCACAGAAGCGAAAGCACGCGGUUGGGAUUGGGAGUUUUCAAUUUGAGCUUGAGAAUUGGGAUUGGAAGAGUCAUGCCACAGGGAGAACCAAGGUCUGACCUUCUGUGCGUGUCAAAACCUUUCUGGAAUGGCUCUCUCUCGUUACCUUCUCCCCAGCCUGGGAGAGAGUCCAGAUUUUGAAAGUCCAGUGUGGGAACAGGAGAGACAGCUCAGCAGUUAAGAGCACUUGCUGCUCUUCCAGAGGACCAGGAUUUGAUUCCCAGCACCAACAUGGCGGGGCUCACAAUCACCCAUUGCUCCUGUUUGGGGACAUCUGACACUCUCCUGAGUUCCACAAGCACUGCACACAUUCAGCGCACAUGCACAGACGCAGCCAAAACGCCCACACACCUAAAAUUAAAAUGAAGACAUUGGUUUUUGUUGUUGUUUUGUUUUGUUUUGUUUUUAAAGUAAAGUGUGGUGCGAUUCUGUCUGCAUGUGCCUGCUGUGGCCGCCCAGAGGCUUACAGGUACGCUAGACACGCAGGGCGGGUGGCAGCUGGCAUCUGUGGAGUUGAGGUGUCUGACACCCAGGCUAUGGUGACUCACCCACAGAAGCAAACACUCCGCUGAGGUUUUUAGUAAUGGUGAAGGAAAACUCAUUGCACCAAGAGGAGCGCUCGCCUGCUGCCUCUGCAACUCUUCCAAAGCCUGAGCAGGCACAGCUCACAGAUGUCUGUCUGUCCGUCUUUUCAGGUCAAUAAGGAGAUUGCGGAAAGCACGUCUGCCCACACUCACAGCCAGUAAGCUGCCAGGUUGGAUCCAAAGCCCAGGGCCCUCACACCCAUAGGGGCGAGAAACAGGUGGCCAACACCUGACAUUCCCAGUGGAUCUCCGGGGACAGCCAUCGAAGGCAUGGUGAGAGGAGGGAAUGGAGGGAAAGUGGUCCUAACAGAGUGCUGAGGUACCGAGAAAACGGAUGAGCUUCCUAGACAGUAACGGAAAACAGUGGCUCCUCAGUGCCCACCACAGCUGCCAGUCCUCCAGGUGCUGCUUUCUCGCUUUCCUUCCCUGACCGCAUCCCGUCCCUUCCCCCUCCUUGCUGAAUCACGACUGCAGAGCCUGCAGGGUGUACCCUUAACACCAGCCCUCCCGAGUCACACCAAGUUUAACACAUAGGCCGUGGUGUCCCUGUUACAGGCUGGCUGACUGAAGGCAGCGAGUCUGACAGAGGAAAGCGUGGGAUAGAACAGAAGUGUGGUGACCCACUGGGAGCCAAAGCAAGAGGCCAGGGAGGUUGGGACCUCAGAGGGGAGCCCCCUGGCUGGGACAGAGAAAGGCCGAUGUGGGAGGUGGGAACCUUAGCGACAGCCACCAGAAAACAGCAAAGACAGAAAGGGGUCACACUACACCCAUUAUCCACUAGACAUGAGGACACCUUGGGAGUGUGAGUGGACAUCCUGGAUACGUGAUGCCUAUAUGCUAUUUAAAGAUGUGACCCCAUCCCUGGGACAGCCAGCCUCUGGUGGAGCGCAGAACUUGUGAUGGUUUGUAUAUGCUUGUCCCAGGGAGUGGCACUAUUAGAAUGUGUUGCCAUGUUGGAGUGGGGCGUGGCCCUGUUGGAGUGGGUGUGGCCUUGUAGGAGUGGGUGUGGCCUUGUAGGAGUGGGUGUGGCCUUGUAGGAGUGGGUGUGGCCUUGUGGGAGUAGGUGUGGCCUUAUGGAGUAGGUGUGUCACUGUGAAUGUGGGCUUUAUGGAUAAUUCAACAGAUAUUCUCAGGGUCAGGAUGACCUCUAGCUGGUUCUUCCCUUGGCCUGGUGCUAAACUGCCAAGAAAUCUAUUAAAAAUAACAGGUUGACCUAUGGAUACUUGGCAGGUCUGUGAUGUUCCAACAGAAGCCACUCUGGGUCCUCUGAAAGUGGGAAGUGGUAGCUUGCCAAGCCUCUCAGAACAAUUUUGUCAGCCCCAAGGGCUCACCUCAGACAUGCAUCCAGGGCUCUCACCACCAGGAUACUGUCUGCAUCCACCAAGGAGACCACAGAGAGAGUCACCCUGCCCUGGAAGGAAACAGAGAGCCUCAACAAUGAGGGCUCCCUGGAGUCUGCCACAGCUCCCGAGGGUCUCCAGGACUUCCAGAUGAGACAUCUUCGACCUUAGAGUCUCCAUGGUGUGACUCAACACAAAAAGCCCCCCAGCCACCUCCUACAGACAAACAAAAGACACAGACAGACAGAAGAUGCUUUGGAGGGGCGUGCAGGCUGUGAGAUAGGGGUCAGACGAAACUAGCAGGUCUAAGUUUGCAAAGGCAAGAACCCCACAUCAUAAUGAGUUAGGGGUGGGAGUGGGACUGGGUCUCCUCCGGGAUGACAAAGGCUUCGAAACUAACGGGAGAUGCUCACCACAAGAUGGUGGAUUAUAUCAGUCAACCUCAGUGUCACGCAUGCUGAUCCGCUGCUCCAGCCGUUACACAAGGCUCCUUCUAGAGAGGUGAUUGAGGUCAUGUCAUUUCUCACUUCCAUUCAAAGUGAAACAAACAAACAAAGAGUUAGAGCCCUAAGCCCAGUUAGUGGAGCCCACCUCUAACCACAGGAUUUGGGAGGCUGAGGCUGAGGUAGGAGGGUCUCUGAGAGUUUGAGGACAUCCUCAUGUACAUAGUGAGACCCUGUUCCCAAAACAAACAAAAAGUUAAAGACCUUGUGAUGGUUUGUAUGUGCUCAGCCCAAGGAGUGGCACUAUUAGAAGGUGUGGCCUUUUGGAGUGGGUGUGGCCUUGUUGGAGUGGGCGUGGCCUUUGUUGGAGUGGGCGUGGCCUUUGUUGGAGUGGGUGUGUCACUGUGGUCAUGGGCUUUAAGACCCUCAUCCUGACUGACUGGAAGCCAGUUUUCCACUAGCAGCCUUCAGGUGAAGAUGUAGAACUCUCAGCUUGUCCUGCCGCAUGCCUGCCUGGAUGCUGCCAUGUUCCCACCUUGAUGAUAAUGGACUGAACCUCUGAACCUGUAAGCCAGCCCCAAUUAAAUGUUGUCCUUGUAAGA